UAACACAUGCAAGUCGAACGGAAACGAAACUAGCUUGCUAGUAGGCGUCGAGUGGCGGACGGGUGAGUAACGCGUAGGAAUCUGCCUGAUAGUGGGGGAUAGCCCGAAGAAAUUCGGAUUAAUACCGCAUAAUCUAUUCGUAGUAAAGUGGGGGACUUUCGAGCCUCACGCUAUCAGAUGAGCCUGCGUAGGAUUAGCUUGUUGGUAGGGUAAAAGCCUACCAAGGCAACGAUCUUUAGCUGGUCUGAGAGGAUGAUCAGCCACAUCGGGACUGAGACACGGCCCGAACUCCUACGGGAGGCAGCAGUGGGGAAUAUUGGACAAUGGGGGCAACCCUGAUCCAGCAAUACCGCGUGUGUGAAGAAGGCCCGAGGGUUGUAAAGCACUUUCAAUUGUGAAGAAAAGUUAGCGGUUAAUAACCGUUGACCUUGACGUUAACUAUAGAAGAAGCACCGGCUAACUCCGUGCCAGCAGCCGCGGUAAUACGGAGGGUGCAAGCGUUAAUCGGAAUUACUGGGCGUAAAGCGUGCGUAGGCGGUUUAUUAAGUCAGAUGUGAAAGCCCCGGGCUUAACCUGGGAACUGCAUUUGAAACUGGUCAACUAGAGUAUGGUAGAGGAAAGUGGAAUUUCUGGUGUAGCGGUGAAAUGCGUAGAUAUCAGAAGGAACAUCAAUGGCGAAGGCAGCUUUCUGGACCAAUACUGACGCUGAGGUACGAAAGCGUGGGUAGCAAACAGGAUUAGAUACCCUGGUAGUCCACGCCGUAAACGAUGAUAACUAGCCGUUGGGGGGAUUUACCCCUUAGUGGCGAAGCUAACGCGUUAAGUUAUCCGCCUGGGGAGUACGGCCGCAAGGCUAAAACUCAAAGGAAUUGACGGGGACCCGCACAAGCGGUGGAGCAUGUGGUUUAAUUCGAUGCAACGCGAAGAACCUUACUGGUCUUGACAUCCUGCGAACUUUCUAGAAAUAGAUUGGUGCCUUCGGGAACGCAGUGACAGGUGCUGCAUGGCUGUCGUCAGCUCGUGUCGUGAGAUGUUGGGUUAAGUCCCGUAACGAGCGCAACCCCUAUCCUUAUUUGCCAGCACAUUAUGGUGGGAACUAUAAGGAGACUGCCGGUGAUAAACCGGAGGAAGGCGGGGACGACGUCAGUCAUCAUGGCCCUUACGACCAGGGCUACACACGUGCUACAAUGGGAAGGACAAAGAGCCGCGAAGCCGCGAGGUGUAGCUAAUCUCAUAAAUCUUUUCGUAGUCCGGAUUGGAGUCUGCAACUCGACUCCAUGAAGUCGGAAUCGCUAGUAAUCGUAGAUCAGAAUGCUACGGUGAAUACGUUCCCGGGUCUUGUACACACCGCCCGUCAUACCAUGGGAGUGGGUUGCACCAGAAGUGGCUAGUCUAACUUUGUGAGGACGGUCACCACGGUGUGAUUCAUGACUGGGGUA
rnacentral:rRNA from 1 species